rnacentral:rRNA from 1 species
UACGGAGGAUGCGAGCGUUAUCCGGAUUUAUUGGGUUUAAAGGGUGCGUAGGCGGAUUUUUAAGUCAGCGGUAAAAUGUCCGGGCUCAACCCGGGCCGGCCGUUGAAACUGGGGAUCUUGAGUGGGCGAGAAGUACGCGGAAUGCGUGGUGUAGCGGUGAAAUGCAUAGAUAUCACGCAGAACUCCGAUUGCGAAGGCAGCAUACCGGCGCCCGACUGACGCUGAGGCACGAAAGCGUGGGGAUCGAACAGG